UGGGAGAAUGCAGACUGGAACAGCAACUUUGGAAGACGGUUUGGCUGUUUCUUAGAAAGUUAAACACAGUCUUACCAUACAAUCUAGCCAUCGUGCUCCUAGGUAUUUACCCAAAUGAGUUAAAAACUGAUGAACACCCAAAAACCUGCACAAGAACGUUUGUAGCAGUUCUAUUCAUAAUUGCUAAAACAUGGAAGCAAUCAAGAUAUCCUUCAAUAGGUGAACGGAAGAAAGAGGAAUGAGAAAGCCAAGCCACCAGUGACAGCAGGCUUGCCUCGGACUGCUUCAGGCCCAUCACCGGUUCCCGUGAGCGCCUCCUCUGCGCCUGCAGAUGGACAGGGUGAAAAGACGGCCCGCACAUGGUUCCCGCAGUAGAGUAAUCUGCAACUGAAUGAAGCAGAUACACUGGCUCACAGCAUUAUAACACAAGACAGAUAUUCCUUCUGGAAGGGAAGAGGAGGAAGCAGGAAGGGACUAAAGGGAAGGGAAAGAAGAAAGAAAAGGCUAAAGAAAGAAUGAAGGGAAGGAAGAAGGAAGCCAUGGUAGGAACAAGGGAAGGAAGCUAACACUCCUGGGACCUCCUGUGCGCCAGGCCCUGUGCUGAGUCCCUUACCCCUUGUGUUUUAUUUAAGCCUCAUGACGGCCCUUUAAGGAAAGCCCAUUUGCCAUUCCACAGGUGAGAAGACAAGGCCUCAGGUGAUGCCUCAGGUCUCACAGCUGGUAGAGCAAUCUGGAGGUUUUGCACAGGCCCCCGAGCGGUGGUGCCAGCUUGGCACUGCUGUUCAGACAGGACCCUCCUUCUCAUCCCCAAGAGGGGCCCAGAGCCCAGUUAUCCUCGGUCUCCUUGAAGGCCUCCCAGAACCACAGCAGGUUAAAACCCAUGCACCUUAGAGAUCGUUAAUCCAACCCACAUGAGGAGAAACUGAGAUCCAGAAACAGGUGCAGACCCGCCUGGGGUCCCAUGGAGGGUUCCCAAGAGAGCUGGGGGCCAGCUCUUCCCACCCUGGCCCUCGGAGAAGUCAGCAAUGCCACCAGCCGUGGCAUUUAAUUGUUUCCAGACCCUGAAAUGCUGCAGUCGCCCCUCCCCACUCGGUCCCAUUCUGGCUGAAGCCUUCCCAGGUCGACGGAGCAGAAAGAAAAAUAAAAUGCAACCCCUAUGUGUGAAUCAGAAAGAGCAGCCACACAGGUGCAUGCUGACUCUGCCUGAAAAGGGGGCUCCAGCAGAAGCACGUCGUUCCCGCCCAGGAUGGACCUCCCGACUGCCUGUCAUCUCGGGUGAGGCUUACCGCUCACGACCAGGGCACGCCCAGCCUUUCCUUCCAUGGCUCCCUGAACCCCCUCUACACCCGCCCAGCUUUUGGAGCGGAAAAGCUAAGGGCUAUGGGGUCGAACAGACUUGAGAUUAGAGACUGGCUUCAUCACUCUGCGGCUGGUGAGAAUCGAUCAAGAGAUUUAAUCUCUUGGAACCUCAGUUUCGUCAUCUGGAAAAUGGGGUAACAAUGAGAUACCAUCUAUCAUCCUUCCCUCCACAUAUGUCAUUCUCAAAACUCAUCUAUUUAACAAAAAGAAAGAAAAAGAUUAAAAAAUAAUAUUGCACUUCUAUUAUUUAGCAGGCCCUGUUCUAAGCAUUCAGAAUAUAAAGAUAAAUCUUACCUUCUAAGAUAUAUGCUAGAUAUAAAGCAAUGUAAUCCAGUCAUCAUUCCACAGACACACUGAGCCAAUGUUACCCCAAUUCCAAUGUUAACUCCCGGGUCCAAGCCACGCGUCCUCGUGCCUGAUGACUGCAGCUACCCCCUGACGGGUCUCCUGCUUCCCUCCCUGGCGUCUCUAUAGUCUGUUCUCAACAGAGUAGCCAGCAUGAGCCUCACAAAACACCAGCCUGAUCAUGUCACCCUCCUGUUCGAAACCUCC
rnacentral:lncRNA from 1 species